UACGGAGGGUGCGAGCGUUGUCCGGAAUCAUUGGGCGUAAAGGGCGCGUAGGUGGCCCGGUCAGUCCGUGGUGAAAGCGCGGGGCUCAACCCCGCGUCGGCCAUGGAUACUGCUGGGCUUGAGCACUGUAGAGGCAGGCGGAAUUCCGGGUGUAGCGGUGGAAUGCGUAGAGAUCCGGAAGAACACCGGUGGCGAAGGCGGCCUGCUGGGCAGUGGCUGACACUGAGGCGCGACAGCGUGGGGAGCAACAGG
rnacentral:rRNA from 1 species